UUAACUCUUCAGAAGAAACGGGCAAAUAUUUAAAUCUCUAUUAAGUUAUCUUUUAAGGAAAAACAACAAUAUUCAGAGUAAAUGUUAAUAGUCCUUUAUGCACCCUGACCUCUCUGUGCAAGCUAUGGCUUUCUCUAGCUGGCCAGUUAUGGCUACACUCAAUUCUUUCACUCAGGAAUGAGAAUUCAGUAAAAGAAACAGUUGCUGCAUUUCCACAACUUUUAUGUCAAUGUCUCUUUAUCAGAAACCUUGCAUGCACAAGAUCUGAAGCCUUCUUGUAUAUAUUAGUUUUUACUUUAAAAAAGCCUCAAGAUGUAAAUACAUUCUCAGUUUUGUCUUCUCACCUUCCACCCCCAUAACUAACGGUGAUGGAACUCCGAAGCUACUAUUGGUACUAUAUUAAAUUUAAAAAUUAGAUAAAGCCGGGCAUGGUGGCGCACGCCUUUAAUCUCAGCACUCAGGAGGCAGAAGCAGGAGGAUUUCUGAGUUCCAGGACAGCCUGGUCUACAAAGUGAGUUCCAGGACAGCCAGGGCUAUACAGAGAAACCCUGCCUCAAAAAAAAACAAAAACAAAAACAAAAACAAAAACAAAAAACAAAACAAAUAAAAUAAAUAAAUAAAUAAAUAAAUAAAUAAAAAUUAGAUAAAUGUAAAACCUCACUGAACAAGGUAGAGGAGAGAUUUUCCUUGUCUCCCUCUUGAUCCUUACCUGGAUACUCCAAAUGGAUCUAGGGACCCAGUUAAUACAUAACCAAUUAACAUGAGAAAAAUAUUACUAGCUUUGAAUAGACAUGGGAUACUUCCGGAAAAAUAAAAACCAAAGAAACGACCAGAGAGCAGUAGCUUUUACCCAUCAGUAACUUUGUGAAAGAAUGCAAGCACGGACAAACAGAUCUUCAGGCAGGGUAGAACAUUUGAGAGAGAUUAACAGAUAUGAGGUCAAAGGUCAGGUGGCAGAUGUAAAGUCUGAGGGGAAAUGAGGGCCACUUCAGGGCUUUCUGUAGGCUCACCAGUGAGCAGUCUCUGAUACUAAGGUUACUCUCCCAAACAAUCUAGGUGGCUUGUAGGUAACACAGGCCCAAUGCACCCCCUUCUGAAGUUAGGAAAAUGUCAACUGAUUUUACCUUAAAAUCAUCAACUUGUCAAUUAAGCAUAUUCUGGGAUGUAUAUCCUUGGCUCCUUCCAUUACCCUACAUAACUAAACUAACUCAGGACGUUUGUUGUGCAAUGCAUUUGAAGGCUCUUGUGCAGGAGCUCAAUGUUCCCUUGUAGAUAAACGGACUCCGUGACAGCACAUCUCGUCUUCUGAUACCCUACGAUGCUCUGCACCAGCUCUGCACAGAACGGGGCAAUAUGUACUGGAUUGAUGAGUUUUAAUGAUUGACUAACCAGAGUUCAAAACUCACAGAAGCCCAAAGCAGGAGAUAGUAGUUAAAUCAGGAGCAUGUGGAGACAAGUAUGGAUAACAAAUAAUUAGCUUUUAGAAGCUCAUAUCUGCGCUGGAGUGAUGACCCAGUGGUGACAAGCAGUUGUUGCUCUUGCGGAGGGCCUGGGUUUGUAUCCUAGCACCCAUAUGGCAGUUCACAACUGUCUAUAACUCCAAUCCCAGGAGUUCUGGCACCCUCUUCUGACCUCCAUAGUCACCAGGCACACAUGUGGUAUACAUACAUACAUGCAUGCAAAACAAUCAUACACAUAACAUAAAUCUAAGUUUUUUAAAAAUUUGUAACAGCAUUAGUAAUAGUGUCACACUAUCAUGGGAAGGUGGUGUUUCACGAGUCUUUGCUCUUUCCUGCCUGUUGACUUCUGGAGAUGUCUGUUCUGUCGUGCUCUCAGCUAAACAUCAGUGUAUCAGGAUGGUACCUCAAACCAUCCCGGGAGUUCCAUUUGGAUAAAAGCCUUUCCCUUAGUUGCUUCUGGGGAUAUAAAGGAAGCACAGAGUAACCUAUCACAUAGAUUCAGAAAGAGAAGUCAGGUCGGGGGCGGCGGGGGUGGGGGAGGGGGGAUAACAGGAGGCUGGGGGUCAAAAGACAUUGUUGCUGCCGGGCAGUGGCGGCACACGCCUUUAACCUCAGCACUUGGGAGGCAGAUGCAGGCAGAUUUCUGAGUUCGAGGCCAGCCUGGUCUACAGCAUGAGUUCCAGGACAGCCAGGGCUACACAGAGAAACCCUGUCUCGAAAAAAAAGACAUUAUUGCCUACUUGACAAUGUAGACCAUACCACAGGCAACAUCUCCUUUCUAGACUAGAAACAAAGCUUUGUUUCUCAGACAGUGGCUUUAUUCAUAUACAGCACGCAAUUGGAAAGGACAGGAAGCAGUCAGACUCACUAAUUCCAAAGCCAUGUGAUUUAGCAUAGCACAAAAGAACAGGGCCUUAAGAGUUAUCAGAACUUUGGCUUGGUGCAGACACCCAAAUGCCUUGUCGGCAUAGCAAUGUGCGGCUGUCCACAGAGCUCUCAAGGAACCCCAAAAAGAACGGUGUAAGCAAAUCCCUUCUUCCAUAGAUGAGUUACGUUGGAGGCUAUGAGCUGCUGGCCCACAGGCUGAAUUGGACUUGUACAAUGUGUAAAGGAGUUUAAAAAUAAAAAUCCGAAUUUCCAACUUAUCUAGGAGAAGGAGAGAAGAGCAGAGGGUGGGCAGGCCCAAUUGGUCCUGGAUUCUGGAGAGGCAACGUGGUGAGGUGUAAGGAGAAGGUACAAAAGGCGAAGUAGCAUCAUUAGUGAUGGCCACCUGCUCUGACCACCGGAGGAGUCAGUUCCUUUAGGGCCUUGGUUGGCAGCUUGAGCAUAGAUGUUCUAGAUAAGUAAUGAAGGAUACUCUCUCGAGGGAAGAGGAGUGCCUAUCCUGCAAAGCAUGAAGAACAUGCAGCUCCUUUGAGGGAACUUUGCAUCCAAGCCCACCCACUGACAGCUCUGCUCUGCCUGAACUCCUCAGCCAUCCAUAGGCUGCUAAUGUAGGAGAUCCAAGAGUCUCCCUGACUGCUAGCGAGUCGCAGGAGGGUUAAACUACUAUUCAUAUUCUGCUUCCUAAAGUCCCCUCUUUGGCCCAGACUCCCUUCUUGAGGGACAGGAGGCUUUACAUAUUUCUCCACCUGAACUGUCCAAAACUGACGUCAUUUCCUCGGACCCCUCGUGCGCUCCUCCAAAGCACCCUCCCUAUAUGCAAUCUUUCUCUGAGACGACUGGGAUUCCUCAGUGGCCAUUGGGCAACUGUCUUCUCCACUCUUCUCGUAUGCACACCCCUCCCCGUCCUGAUUGUAGCCAGCAUGGUAUGUCUACACACAAGCACAGUGACAUCGUCCACCCAGCUGUCUGUGGUCUAUCUCUCUACCUGCUUGAUACUAGCCCUGAACUCACUGCUAAGAAGCAUGAAGGGAGUUUACAAGCUCGUAAGUCAGCCUGCCUUGCUUUCCCAGGCUAGAGGUAAGAGCCUUAUUAUCUAUCCCUGCAGGCAGAGUGAGCUUCACAUUUCCCACAGCUCUUGUUCCUCUAGACGCACCACAGUCCUGGGAGAUGUCGCACAGUAUUGAGUUUAUUCCACAGAUGAGAAAUGUUGUGUUUAGGGAUCCCCAAUCUAAAAGGGACAUCUAUCAAACCUGCCCUAAUAAAUGAAUGGACAUGGCCAGAAGAUAGAUUCCAAUAUCCCUUCCAUGGGCUCAUCUCUAAGGGCUUAAAUUCCUCCAUGUAUAAGCUUCAACUCUUAAAAUAUGCCUCCAUCUCCCAGUAACCAAGAGGGUGACCAGGUUUUUAAUAUAUGGACCUUUGGGACACAUAUCCAACCUACAGCAGUGAGGAAGGCAGAGGAUAUCCUGUAAACACUGUCUGACUCAACCUCAUCGUAGGCACUUUUCAUAGGGAGUAAGUUUCUGUGGCUCCAAGUUCCAACUAGAUGUGUGUAUUUUUUUUUUUCUUAAACUUUUUACCCUCUUUGGAACCUGCUUGUCCAUGCAUUUCAAAAACAUGGCCCCCGUGUGUCAGUGAGGUGGCUCAACAGGUAUAGUCACUUGCUGCCAAACCUAUGAAGUUGAGUUCUAUCCCUAGAACAAUCCUUCUGCCCAGCACCUCAGCACGCCGCUGCUGACCCCAAGAUAGAAUCAGAGAACUGGUUUCUUCAGGUUGUCCUAUCCUUUACUUGCUGCAAGCUCAAGGACACAAGUAAAACUUAAAAAGAGGAAGAGGAGGAGGGCACGUGGAAUUGGGCAAGCUCACAGCUCUGCCAGCAAACCAAAUGACUUCUCUUGAUCGCAGGUUCUCCUGGUUAGAAAUCAGACGAAUGGCGUUCCAUUUCUUACAUCUGUUGGGGUUAAUAAAUAUAUCUUUCCAGCACACAAGACAGCGUGAGCACUCAAAAAACGGUCUCUGCCUUGCACAAAUUCUACCCUACCUCAUUUGUGGUCUACAAAGUUACUAUGUUAUUCCCACUAGCCUUGGAAAUUAUAAACUUGGAAGACUCAGUCCUAAAACCAUUGACGUUAAUCUGCUUAAGGCUACAAAACCAGCAUUUGCAUUGCAAACUCUAAGAACGACAUUUAGCCCUAGGCCACCUCCCACGUAAUAAACACUUCCUUCUGAAGGUCUAAACUGGACUUAGGACCACUACCUCCUGAGGAAAGUGAGCUGCAUUAUGAAGACCAAGGGUGGCAUCAGGUUUUGAGGCAGAAGGGCUGGCCAUACAAUCUCAGGGCAAGGGCUCAGCACCACGCUGAUGCCCCACCUCCUAUGCCUUGACUUUCUGGCAACUCCAACCAAAAGCUUCACGUCCGCUGGCCCCCGCCCUGUUAACGUCACGGCCACUUGGUACAGUGCCCCCUAGGGGCCUCAGUUCCUCCCACGAGGAAGAGUCUAGUCUUUCCUGCUGCUGGCCCUUUACUGUGCCGCUUGGCUCUCUGGUGCCUCCCACGCCAGCCCGGGGAAGAACUUGCAGCCGCAUCUCGGCGCCUGGGGAUAACCAGUCACCCCGCACUCUGCAGCAGCAUGAGCGUCCGCCUCCCUCUCCUGCUUCGCCAGCUCGGCCGCCAGCAGCUGCCCUCGGGCCCGGCGUGUCGCCUCCGUGAGCUGUGUCGCUCAGGCAGCAGAAGCAGCAGCAGCGGAGGUGGUGACCCCGAGGGGUUACGCGGGCGGCGGCUGCAGGAUGGCCAAACCUUCAGCAGCCAUGGCCCAGGCAAUCCGGAAGCCCCCGGGAUGGACUCCAUCGUCAGAGACGUCAUUCACAAUUCCAAGGAAGUGCUGAGCUUGUUGCAAGAAAAGAACCCUGCCUUUAAGCCAGUGCUUGUGGUUAUUCAGGCCGGUGAUGACAAUUUGAUGAAGGAUAUGAACCAGAAUUUGGCCAAGGAGGCUGGUCUGGACAUCACUCACAUCUGCUUGCCUCCAGACAGCGGAGAGGAUGAGAUCAUAGAUGAAAUCCUGAAGAUUAAUGAAGACCCCAGAGUGCAUGGCCUUACCCUUCAGAUCUCUGAAGAUUCAUUGAGCAACAAAGUUCUCAAUGCUUUGAAACCAGAAAAAGAUGUGGACGGGGUGACCGACAUCAAUCUGGGGAAGCUCGUACGAGGUGACGCUCCGGAGUGUUUUGUUUCACCCUUGGCCAAAGCUGCUGUAGAACUUGUUGAAAAGUCAGGGAUCACUUUGGAUGGAAAGAAGGUCUUGGUCGUAGGGGCGCACGGGCCCCUGGAAGCUGCCCUGCAGUGGCUUUUCCAGAGAAAAGGAUCUAUGACAAUGAGCUGCCCCUGGGCAACACCUCAGCUUCCAGACAAGCUUCGAGAGGCAGACAUUGUGGUCUUAGGCUCACCUAAGCCAGAAGAGAUUCCUGCUGUGUGGAUUCCAUCAGGAACCACCAUUCUCAAUUGCUUCCAUGACUUCUUGUCAGGGAAGCUGAGCGGAGGUUCUCCUGGGGUCCCCGUGGACAAACUCAUUGCAGAAGAGAGCGUGAGUCUCCUUGCUGCGGCUCUGCGCAUUCAGAACAUGGUGAGCAGCGGCAGGAGGUGGCUCAGAGAGCAGCAACAUCGAAGAUGGCGACUGCACUGCUUGAAACUGCAGCCUCUCUCACCUGUGCCCAGUGAUAUUGAGAUUUCUCGAGGACAGACUCCAAAAGCUGUGGAUGUCCUUGCCAAGGAGAUAGGAUUGCUUGCAGAUGAAAUUGAAAUCUAUGGCAAGAGCAAAGCCAAAGUCCAAUUGUCCCUGCUGGAGAGGUUAAAGGAUCAAACAGAUGGAAAAUACGUCUUGGUUGCUGGGAUCACGCCCACCCCGCUCGGAGAAGGGAAGAGUACAGUCACCAUCGGACUAGUGCAGGCGCUGACCGCUCACCUGAAAGUCAACUCCUUCGCCUGUCUGAGGCAGCCUUCUCAGGGACCCACUUUUGGAGUGAAAGGAGGAGCUGCAGGAGGUGGAUAUGCUCAGGUCAUCCCCAUGGAGGAGUUCAACCUUCACCUGACUGGGGACAUCCAUGCCAUCACUGCCGCUAAUAACUUGCUGGCCGCAGCCAUCGACACGAGAAUUUUACAUGAGAGCACUCAAACAGACAAGGCUCUCUACAAUCGACUGGUUCCCUUAGUGAAUGGUGUCAGAGAAUUUUCAGAAAUUCAACUUUCUCGGCUGAAGAAACUGGGGAUACAUAAGACUGAUCCAAGCACACUGACCGAGGAGGAAGUGAGGAAGUUCGCCCGCCUCAACAUUGACCCCGCAACCAUCACGUGGCAGAGAGUAUUGGACACGAACGACCGAUUUCUGAGAAAAAUAACCAUUGGACAGGGAAGUACAGAGAAAGGAUAUUCCCGGCAGGCACAGUUUGACAUUGCAGUGGCCAGCGAGAUCAUGGCCGUGCUGGCCUUGACUGAUAGCCUCACAGACAUGAAAGAGCGGCUAGGAAGAAUGGUGGUGGCCAGUGACAAAGACGGGCAGCCUGUGACAGCUGAGGACUUGGGGGUGACCGGCGCUCUGACAGUUUUGAUGAAAGACGCCAUCAAGCCAAAUCUGAUGCAGACCCUUGAAGGAACACCUGUGUUUGUGCACGCUGGUCCCUUUGCCAACAUCGCUCACGGCAACUCAUCAGUAUUAGCUGAUAAAAUCGCGCUGAAAUUGGUCGGCGAAGAAGGGUUUGUGGAGUACACCCAGAAUAGUUUCUCCAUGCUCUCUGCAUCAACCCCAACCUUCCCCAGUGUGUGGUGACCUGGUCAUGGGGCAAGCGGGAAGGAAGGGUCUUCAAAAUACUGUUAAUUUGUGGUUCCAGUGAUCUCUUCCUCAGCUUCACAAUAUGUGCCCAUGACUGAAGCUGGCUUUGGGGCUGAUAUUGGGAUGGAGAAAUUCUUCAAUAUCAAAUGCCGAGCUUCUGGCCUGGUGCCCAACGUUGUCGUGCUGGUAGCCACCGUUCGAGCUCUGAAGAUGCAUGGAGGCGGGCCGAGUGUAACUGCUGGGGUUCCUCUCAAGAAAGAAUAUACAGAGGAGAACAUUCAGCUGGUAGCUGAUGGCUGCUGCAACCUACAGAAGCAAAUUCAGAUCGCUCAGCUCUUCGGGGUGCCGGUGGUGGUGGCACUGAAUGUCUUCAAGACGGACACCCGUGCAGAGAUUGACUUGGUGUGUGAGCUCGCUAAACGGGCCGGUGCCUUUGAUGCGGUCCCCUGCUAUCACUGGUCGGCUGGAGGGAAAGGAUCUGUGGACUUGGCCCGGGCUGUGAGAGAAGCUGCGAAUAAAAGAAGCCGCUUCCAGUUCCUGUAUGAUGUUCAGCUUCCCAUCGUGGAAAAGAUAAGAGUCAUUGCCCAGACUGUCUAUGGAGCCAAGGACAUUGAGCUGUCUCCUGAGGCGCAGUCCAAAAUCGAUCGCUAUACGCAACAGGGUUUUGGAAAUUUGCCCAUUUGCAUGGCGAAGACCCACCUCUCUCUCUCUCAUGAACCUGACAAAAAGGGAGUGCCGAGGGAUUUCACUCUGCCCAUCAGUGAUGUCCGGGCCAGCAUCGGGGCUGGGUUCAUUUAUCCUUUGGUGGGAACGAUGAGCACAAUGCCAGGACUGCCCACCCGACCCUGCUUUUAUGAUAUAGACCUUGACACAGAAACGGAGCAAGUUAAAGGCUUGUUCUAAUGGAAUGAAACCCACAGGACUGGGCAAGAAAACAGCUCACACAAGAAUCCCAGCCUUUAAAACCACAACACAAGUAAGAGUUUAACACCAGAGGAAAAGACGACUUGGCUCUGAGACCCCACCCCCUCUUUUUCAGAGUCUUCAAACAAAAAACGUCUCCUUGCCUUUUUGCUGCAGUUGGAGAAGAAAAUGAAUUUUGAAAUCUUGUGAUGCAAUGCUGGAGCAAUCCUGAGACAGGCCAAAGACCGCUUCCUCAUACAAGAUUAACUCUGUUUCCAGCCAAGUGGUGUUCAACAGAAGGACCUGCGCCACAUCUGGAAGGAGUGAAGUUACUCUUGGUUCCGAUAGUGUUUACACCAUUUCUGCUGCUUAUACUUUAGAAAGUUUAUUUUAUGGGGACUAGGGCUUUGCAAGAGUGUGAACUAAAAGCUAAUGCUUCCGUCUUUGGAGUUUUCUCUUUCAUCUUUUUUAUUCUUCCUUUCCUCACCUGUGUUGAGGAUGGGAUGUCAGGCCUCUGCUUGCACCGUCCAGCGCUGUGCUGCCAAACUGUAUUUGUUUUUGUCUUUGAACUGAAAAUAAACAUGUGUUCUAGAAAACCGUG